rnacentral:rRNA from 1 species
GGUUCGAUUCUGCUCAGAUUGAACGCUGGCGGGAUGCUUACAGUUGCUGCAAGUUUGAAACGGCAGCACGGACUUCGGUCUGGUGGCGAGUGGCGAACGGGUGAGUAAUGUAUCGGAACGUGCCUAGUAAGGGGAUAACUACGCGAAAGUAGCCAAUACCGCAAUAGCCUUCGGGGGAAAGCGGGGACCUUCGGGCCUCGCACCAUUAGGAGCGGCCGAUAUCGGAUUAGCUAGUUGGUGGGUAACGGUCACCAAGGGCGACGAUCCGUAGCUGGUUUGAGAGGACGACCAACACACCUGGACUGGAGACACGGCCCAGACUCCUACGGGAGGCAGCGCAGUGGGGAAUUUUGGACAAUGGGGAAACCCUGAUCCAGCCAUCCCGCGUGCGAUGAAGGCCUUCGGGUUGUAAAGACCUUGGCAGGAAGAAACGGCACGGGAUAAUACCCCGUGCAACUGACGGUACCUGAGAAUAAGCACCGGCAACUACGUGCCAGCAGCCGCGGUAAUACGUAGGGUGCAAGUUGACUGGAAUUACCGGGCGUAGCGUGCGCAGGCAAGUUCGGAAAGAAAGAUGUGGAAUCCCAGAGCUUAACUUUCUCUUUGAACUGGGCAUUUUUAAAUUACUUGAGCCAGAGUGUCAGAGGGAGGGAAUUCGCGUGUGUAGCAGUGAAAUGCGUAGAUAUGUGAGGAACACCGAUGGCGAAGGCAGCCUCCUGGGAUAACACUGACGCUCAUGCACGAAAGCGUGGGAGCAAACAGGAUUAGAUACCCCGGUAGUCCACGCCUCAACGAUGUCAAUCUAGCUGUUGGGGCCUUCGGGCCUUGUGAAGGCAGCUAACGCGCGGGGUUGACCGCCUGGGAGUAAUGGUCGCAAGAUUAAAACUCAAAGGAAUUGACGGGGACCCGCACAAGCGGUGGAUGAUGUGGAUUAAUUCGAUGCAACGCGAAAACCUUACCUACCCUUGACAUGUCUGAAUCCCGAAGAGAUUUGGGAGUGCUCGCAAGAGAACCGGAACACAGGUGCUGCAUGGCUGUCGUCAGCUCGUGUCGUGAGAUGUUGGGCCAAGUCCUUACAACGUGCCAAGUAAACCUCAUUAGUUGCUACGAAAGGGCACUCUAAUGAGACUGCUUGCGACAAACCGGAGGAAGGUGGGGAUGACGUCAAGUCCUCAUGGCCCUUAGGUAGGGCUUCACACGUCAUACAAUGGUCGGGACAGAGGGUCGCCAACCCGCGGAGGGAGCCAAUCCCAGAAACCCGAUCGUAGUCCGGAUCGCAGUCUGCAACUCGACUGCGUGAAGUCGGAAUCGCUAGUAAUCGCGGAUCAGCAUGUCGCGGUGAAUACGUUGGCACCCCGGGUCUGUACAUAACUGCCCGUCACACCAUGGGAGUGGGUUUACCAUAGCAAGAACAACUGCAAGGAGGGCGAUUACCACGGCAGGAUUCAUGACUGGGGUGAAGUCGUAACAAGGUAG